rnacentral:rRNA from 1 species
AAUUUUGGACAAUGGGGGAAACCCUGAUCCAGCCAUCCCGCGUGUAUUAUGAAGGCCNNNGGGUUNUCAAGUACUUGUGGCAGNGACNAAAAGACAUCCCCUAAUACGGGAGGCUGCUGACGGUAUCUGCAGAAUAAGCACCGGCGAACUACGUGCCAGCAGCCGCGGUAAUACGUAGGGUGCAAGCGUUAAUCGGAAUUACUGGGCGUAAAGCGUGUGUAGGCGGUUCGGAAAGAAAGAUGUGAAAUCCCAGGGCUCAACCUUGGAACUGCAUUUUUAACUGCCGAGCUAGAGUAUGUCAGAGGGGGGUAGAAUUCCACGUGUAGCAGUGAAAUGCGUAGAUAUGUGGAGGAAUACCGAUGGCGAAGGCAGCCCCCUGGGAUAAUACUGACGCUCAGACACGAAAGCGUGGGGAGCAAACAGG